GCUUUGAUUUGCAGUUUGCCCUAAAUUGAGGAUCCAUUAAUCGAUGCAUAGCAACUAGCAAGCAUGCUCCAACUCCAUACGCCGAUACAAGUAAGCGAUAACCUUAUACGCAACAACACCGACGACUAUCGACGGCUCGACCUACCUCCUCUCGUCUGUCCACAACUCCUCCGGUGUCGCUCCAUCCUCUCCCGUCAACGUGAGAUCCAGAGACGCCGAAGCCCGAGAAGAUUUCCAACAUCAAGUCAAGAAGAAAAGGAGCAUCGCCACGCUUUGUGUCAAGUCAAUUCAAUAUAUUCAAGACUUUACGGACAUCCAACCAUAUGUCGGAUUAUUGAAGUGAAUGGAAGCAAGGACUCUAUAAUGAACAGCUCAAUGGGUGUAUUUUGUGAUUCUAAAAAGGAUAAGUGAUGUGAAAUGGGGCUUUCAAAAUGAAAAUCAAAAAAAUUAUAAAGUUGCGAGUGAAAAUGUUUGGAAUUAUCCCAAUGGAGUUGGCGGAUGCCUUAACCAUAGUGUUGAUUUAAGUAGGCGAUUAAGUCAAAGCUACAUGUCAUGGAUGGACUUCUUAAUGAUUAUGACAUUGACCAAUCGGAUUCAGAAACUUCUCAAAAAGAUGAAUCAUGGCAUGAUUGUACUAAUUCCGAAUCUUCUCAGGUUAGUAUAUAAAGUAUUAAUAGACAUGCAUGCUAAUAAGAACCAGACUAAAGAUACUUUUUUAUCUUAAUAGUUGCUAAACUGAUGCAAAAUGAGUUAAUUUUUCCUUAUGUCCUUUAGCUUAAAGUGUCAUAUAAUAUUUAUCUAGUAGUUUCUUUAUUUGAGUAAUUAUUUGGUCUCUUUUUACAAGAAUUGCUAAAUGGGUAUGUGUUGGUGUUCUGGGUUAAUUGCUCCUAAGUCUUUUUUUAGGUAAAUAAAAUUUACUUGCAAAAUGCCCAUGAAAUCAUAGCAAAUGUCUAUAUUACCCAUUGAUGGUGAUAAGCGAUUCUUUUUUCCUUGCUACAAUUCAAGUACUUCCUCAAGGAUCUAGUGAAAUAUGAUGUCAAAUAUCAAGUAACAUAACAAAAAGAAAACAAAAAACAUGUUAGUCAUUAUAACAUUAUAAUAUCAGAUAAUGCUGCUCUUGAAGCUGAACCUAUAGUUUCCCCGCUUAUAAAUGAGAAGAAAAGGUGGUACAUGAUUGUCAAAGUUUAAAGAAAGUAAAGUCUCCAACUAAAGGCUCCAAAACUCCACCUACACCUGCUCUGAUUCGAUCAGGAGAGUUUCAAUCAAGUCUUGGAACCGAGUUUCCUAGCUGUGUAAAGAUGACAGUUAAAUCACAAGUUACCUAUGGGUUUUGGAUGGAAUCUGUUGUCCCCAUUGAAGACCAUGAAUUUGAAGAAGAACAUGAUUCCGAUUCCACAAUAUUCCAUAACAAGAAUGGCAGGAUAUGACAGGUCUAGUGGUAGAUAUGCUCAAGAUCUUUGAUAAAGGUUACUCAAGAAGCAGGACAAGGCAGUAAUGAGACAAAUCUAUUUAUAUUUUUUAUGGUAAAGAUGUUGAAUCCAUCUUCUUUGAAUAUCUUGUAUAAUCUAACUUUGUAUAUUUUUUUAGUCAUUGAAGUACUGUACUCUCUAGGUUCUAUUAAUUUGUGAACAAUUUAUGUUUAUUAUGUCAUGAGAUUAAUUUUGAUAAAUAGAUCAUAUUAUAUCUUUACCA